rnacentral:lncRNA from 1 species
AUUUGUUGUUCAAAAAAUUAUACUUAAUUAUUUUGCGAUUUAAUUAGCAUUCAGUUUUCUACUCGCCAUCAUGUUGUUUAAAAAGUUACACUUAACUAUUUUAUAAUUUUAUUUUUAUUUCACCGUAAAAAUUUAUUAUUAAACAAGGUAUCACAAGACUUUCAACAAAUUUUACUUUGCUAUCCUAUUUACGUCAUUUUUUUUUUGAAAAAUAAAAAAUAAGUUAUAAGAUAAUUAAAUUUAAUUUUUUGAACUAUCUGGUAAUAAACUAAAGAGGAACAUAAGGGACAAAUUAAAGUUUGUCCUAAAUUAAAUUUUAAGCCAUCUAGUGUCAUCACUAUAAUAAUUCUCUUUUAUUUAUUGUCUCCCUGCCACCAAACAUGUGGCCCAUGAGAGAAAUAACAAUUCACUAAUUCAACGGGAUCGGCUGCAAAGCAUUAAUAAUCGUGCCACCAACUAAGUUACAACUCUCUUUAAAAAAAAAAAAAAUGAUAUUUUUCGUAUUUUGAAUAUUUUAAAACAGGCUUAUAUAUUAAUUAUUUGAUCAGAUACGUGUACAGUUCCUAAUCUCGCAGUUCAUUAGCGAAAUAUUAUAUGAUUUAAGAUAGAUCCGGUCGUUGAUGAGCAGAACAAAACAUUAUUGUGAUGCGCCCAACAAUUUUUUUUUUUUUUUUUUUUACCUAUAGUUGCGGCACACGCUGAGUUUAAUAUUUAAAGGAUUUACCUAUAGUUGGGGUACAUAUUAGACUUGGAUUUGACUUAGGAGAAAACUGCGAAUAUAACAUGUCAUAUGUUUACACUACCAGAUUUAACUCUAAGAGCCGUUGUAUCGCCCACGAGUGCCACUCCGGAGCCGGGCCUAGUGCUGUUGCGUUGGUGUCGCUGUGUCCUGGUUGGACUUACUCUCCACUAACUACCCAGCAGAGGUGGUUGUAGUGUUGCUUCGGCAGGCGGGACGGGUGUAUCACAGUCCCUAAAUAGAUUGGGUCAGCAUUGAUAUUUUACUACAUAUGAUUAGAGUAGAGCAUGAUAGUAUAGUGAUAGUUAGCUGUAGACGUUUUCCAGCUUUCCUACUAUUCUUGCUCCUUUCUGUAGACUUAGUGAGUGGACCGAUGAUUGUUGAGGGCGCCACCCACUGAGAACUACUUGUUUUUACAGUAGUUCUCACGCCCAGUUGUUACUCCUCGUUUGCAGAGCCUGCUGUUCCAGUUGCUGCUGCCUCUGAGACCGAUCGUGGCAAGGGCGUUGCCGGUUAGAGCCCUUCCCAGUUGUGGCUGUUCGAGAGGAUACCAGUUUCAAGUAGUGGUUUUGUUUCUGUUGCAGUUCAUGUACAUGCAGUAUAUAUAACUCGCUGGAGCGAAUCUUUUGUACCUGGAUUUUGUAUGUAUAUGAAACUGGCUUUUGUUUACCUGUUUUUCUUCCAGCAGCUCUAUACUACUGUUUGUAGUAUUGUAUAUUCUACAGAUACAACUAUUGCUACGUAUACAGGAAAAAUUCCUUUAUUUACGGCGGAUUUGUCGGCGUGCCCGGAGAAUGAAACAUCCGGGACGUGACAAUAAAUUUAUUAAUUUAUUAAAUUAUUUUUAAUUAAUAUUUUGAUGUUAAUUAAUUAUAUAAAAUAUUUUAAAUUUAAAAUCCUAAUUACUCUUAUUCUUGCUAUUUCAAUGUAACCAUCCAAAUAUCAUUUGUCUUAUUUUCAAAAAACAGUCGAACUUGUAUCUAAACCAAAAAUUAGUUUUGUUUCUACUUAGUUGCACGAAGUUGUACCUAAACUAGGAAUAAGUAAUUCAUAUUUAUUUCUGAACCAAACGAUAUUAAUUCCUAUAAUUCUUAUUUAUUUCUGAACCAAUCAAUACUUUCAUAGUCAAUAAUCAAAAGUUGAUAGAAACACUAUUUUUUUUCUAUUAAUACUACUUGUGAUUUGUAAUAUAUUAAUGAACAAACAAUUUGUGUUACUAUUAGUAUAAAAAAACCGAAGGUCCGCUAGAAUACCUUGUGUAAAAGUAUCAUGCGGAAGUAUACCUUGUGGUUUUAGCACUUGGAUAGAGAGAAUGUGAGUGAAUAGAUUGGUGGUUAGGUCUGUUGGUAGGUGGAAUAGUCUUAUAAUUCCUUACAGGGCUAUUAAUAAUCAAAAGUAGAUCCAAUGCUUAAAAAUCUAAUAGCACCAUGAAUGGUUGAUACUUGUAAAAGUAUCAUAGCUUCAACUCCUAUAUAUAUAAUAUAUAUAUAUAUUAUAUAUAUAUAUAGUAUAUUAUAUAUAUAUAUACUUCAUUAAUAUUAUUUGACCAUGUAUCUUUGAACACAUUGUGCCUGGUUCUUGUUGUGUACCCUGGAUCAAAUCUUUUAUUUGGCAUGAUUGAUAUUCGAAACAAGAUGGGAAUCUCUCCGAAUUUAUAACCCUAUAUUGAUUAUUUAAAUUAUUUUUUUAAAAAAAGAAUAUAUAAUAAAAGGGUAAAAUUUCAAAUACCACACUGUGGGUUUCAUAUGUUCUCUACUUCAUAGAUCAUAGCUUUAACCCCGGAUCCGUCUAGAUGCAAGUGCAAGGCUUGAUGGUUGGUACGCCGAGUCCAAGUUUAAACUCUAGUUGAUUCACAUUCCGCUAAGUUUAGUUUCUAAGAAUAAAAAUAGAAUGAAGCUGCGGUGCAUCUACUUUCAAAAAAAAAAAUAAAAACCCUGUGGUUUAUAAAGUGUAUCAAAUUUAGUACCAUGUGGUUUUAUUUUUCUCUUUUUAUUAUCCAUUUCAUUAAUUUUUUUCGUUAAAUCAGUGACAAAAUUAAAAUUAAAAGGUACUAAAGUGAAUAUUCGAUAAACCUAGGUAGGGUAUCUAGAAUUUUUUGUAUAUAAUUUAACGAAAUAUUAAUGAAGGAAAAAAAAAUCAGUGGCAAAAUUAAAAUUAAAAGGUACUAAAGUAAAUAUUCGAUAACACUAUGACGUUUUUUGUAUAUAAUUUAAUAAAAUAUGAACAGAGGAGCCGACGAAAAGAGAAAAAUGAAACCAUAGAGUACUAAAUUGAUACACUUUAAACCACCGGAUACUAAAGUGAGAAAGUGCAAAACCACAGGGUACUAAAUUGAUUCACUUUAAACCACAUGAUACUAAAGUGAAAAAGUAUGAAACCACUGGGGUGGUAUUUGAAAGUUUUUUCUAAUAUAAAAUUAAUUUUUUUAUAUAUUAUAUAUAUUUUAAUUUGUAUUGAAAUUUAUACUAUUGUUAAUUAAAUUGUUAUAUAAAUUAUUAUAUUAUAAAUUACCAUAUAACAUAUUUUUAUAUAAAAUAUACUGAUAUAAAUUAAUUAUUUUAUUUUUAAAGUAUAUUUAGAUAUUAUUCUAGACUUUUUAUUCAAACAUUACUAAGGAUACUUUCUAAAGUAUUCUCCAAUGCAUCCAAAUAUAUAUAAAUUUAUAGUUGUUCUAAUUUGUAGCGAAAUAUUUUUUGUUCUUGAAAAUAAUAAAAAUUGUUCUCUAAAAUUUAGUUCUUAGUUACAAGUUUGGCGACGUUUGGUCUUCGAGAUUAUUAGAAAAAGAGAAGGAAAAAAGAUUCCAGAUGUCCUUUUUUUGAUUCGUUGGGUUCAUAUUUUCUUAAUUAAUAAUUCUAAAGAAGAAAGAAAAGCUCCUUAAUUAAUUAAGAUUAGUUUUCUUAACUUUUUUUUUAUUGUAGAGGAUUAACUAGUUUUUAAACUUAGUUUAACUUUUCCAAUGGUCCUCAUAAGCUUGACUUAUUAGUUAAAUGCACGUGGUUGCACGCAUCUAAUUAUGAGCGUGUGUGUCGCUCACAAAUUAAUUACAUAAAAAUUAUACAUAACUAAAUAUAUAAAAUUUAACUUAGUUCCAAGUUGGAUUGCGUAGUGGUGACAAUGUUGCUCCUAAAAUAACAAGAAGAAUCACUUAUAAUAACUUAUUGGGUUAAAUGCAUGCAGAUUCCUACAAAGUUUAAUUGUCUAUAUAUUGUUUCUAUAAAAGUCAUAAUUUUUUAAAUGUAAUCCUUGAUUUGUUACUUGUUGGAGAACUAUUUAUAUUUUUUAUUUUGACAUUACAAUAUGUCCUUUCAAAAAUUAUAACAGUAUAAAUAAGAUGGGUAAAAAUAUCAAAUUAUCUCAUAAACUAAUCAGGCUACUAGUUUUUAAUCCAUAAUUAACGAAAUUUUUUAAUGGAUUCCAACGGUAGGAAUAUAUUUAAAAAUAUUAGGACUUUUGCAGGAACAAUAUUAUAAAGUUGAUCUUGGCAGAAAUAUAUUUAUAAUUUACUAUAUUUAUAGGGACCUAUACGCGACUAACCCUAACUUAUUUGUAGGCAAGUAUACCUGGUGUGCAGCUAACAUUAUUUCUAGAUUAAAGGCUUUUCCGUGCAUCAUGUGGUUGGUUGAGAGAAUCCCAGUGCCAUAUAGCUCCAAAAAAAUAAACCUUUAUUUUUUGAGCAGAUUCUUUUUUAUUGACAUUAUUUUUAAAUGAGCGUAUGAAUCGAAUAAUAUGGUAUCUUUCUCUCUAAAAAAAAAAAAAUUGCUCUUUAACGGUGAAUGCGUGAAUUACAAUUAAAAUCUCUUCAAAUAAAUUGAACUUAAGAAAUUGAUCUAAUUAGAAACAGCUAGAAAUAAGCUUAAGACUAUGCCCAUCCCUAAAAUACAUGAGAGCGAAAUAUGAACUAAAAAUGAUUAACUCAUAUGUAGGUACGGUCUACAAUAUUUACCACCUCAGAGUUUAAUACUGAAUUUAUACAUAUAUAUAUAUAUAUAUAUAUAUAUAUAUAUAUAUUAUCAUUUUUAUCAACCAAAAUUUAUUUUUAUCCACUCUCGCCUGGUGAAAAAGAUAGUAGAAAACAGGUUUGGACAAAAAAUAAAGGCUUAAUUAUAGUAUAAUAUUAUUUAUACUGUACUUUAGAGUUUUUUAUUUAUUACACUUUUUUUUUCAAAUAUACCAUUAAAAUAUUACGUUUUUUCAAUCUUUACAUUACAUACAAUGAAUUAAUAAUAGUAUAUAGCUAUGCUAAAAAAUACUGCUUGAAAUUAGCAAAACACAUAUUAGGCACCUUUUGACUAAAAAAAAAAAAGUUAAAAAUAGUUUGAUAGAUCUUUCAAUGAGUCUAUUAUUAAGGCUCCAUUUUGAUAUUCUAGCUAUCUUUCUAAUGCCUCUUAAAAACAAAAAAAAAAAGCUUCUCCCUAAAAUAUAAGAUUUGUUAUCGUAGUUCAAAGAUUAUUGAGAAAACAAUGGUUUAGUGAUAUCUUUAAAGAAAAAAUAAAGUAAGGGGUAGCAAAUAGAAUUAAAUUUGAAGUAUAAUAUACAAAUCGAUAAAAAAAAGUUAGUUUAAUGACGUUCAUAAUAAAUCAAAAUAACAUUGAAUUAUAAUAUAUUGGUAGUUGGAUGUAAUUAAACUUAAAAUAAUGGGUACAUUGACCUUUGCCGAUUUGUUGUUCAAAAAAUUAUACUUAAUUAUUUUGCGAUUUAAUUAGCAUUCAGUUUUCUACUCGCCAUCAUGUUGUUUAAAAAGUUACACUUAACUAUUUUAUAAUUUUAUUUUUAUUUCAACGUAAAAAUUUAUUAUUAAACAAGAUAUCACACAACUUUCAACAAAUUUUACUUUGCUAUCCUAUUUAACGUCAUAUUUUUUUGAAAAAUAAAAAAUAUUAAAUUUUAAGCCAUAUAGUGUCAUCACUAUAAUAAUUCUCUUUUAUUUAUUGUCUCCCU